rnacentral:rRNA from 1 species
CUGACACCAUGGAUUUGCACGUCACAACGGAUACGGGCUUCCACCCCAGUUUCCUGGGGCUUCGCCCUCGUCAGGCAUAGUUCACUAUCUUUCGGGUUAUAGCAUACACGCUACACAGUACUCCGAAGGAACGAACGCUUCGAUAAAAAAACAUCCGCUCCAAAUAGAGUCUGGGGUUUGCGCCGACGCAUCGGCUAUCGCCUUUUUUGCGAAGGAUCAACCCGGUUGUAGCCGUGUGACGCAUUCAUCCACGCGCGCAAAUAAAUGCACUCGUAGGAAUUACGUAUGUCACGCUCGGCUGCACGCCGCCAGCAAUUACUCACUCGCGGCGAACACACCAUUCGCUUUCACUUCGCCUCCGGGUUUUGUGAGACCCUUAGACUCGCGCACAUGCUAUGCUCCUUGGCCCGUGUUUCGAGACGUGACCAAUGGUUCCGGGAAUAUUCACCUGUCAUUCGCAAAAACCAACGGCGAGCUUUCGGCUAAGAACACGCUCGAGAAUAAACUCGAUACAUGAGCUCUCCUACUUGCAUAAGUCAUUCCGUACGCGAUUUUGAACGUUCUGCCGCGUCUGAUAGACGAGCAUUCUGGAUUUGGAAUGGUCAGAAAACAACCUUCUCGAGGAUCGUACAGUGACGCGCGUUAGACAGAGUCAUUGAACGGCCGGCCCCCGAUCACGUGCUGGGCGUGCACUACACACACGCACCCGCACUCACAUUCGACAGACMCGUGUCCGUCAAAUGCGCGAUCGGAGGCUAUAACGCGCCGACAACAACAUUUAUAAUCUCUGUGACUCGCGCGUGGACCUCGAAAAGAGUCGCGGUGGGUUGUCGCGUUGAUCGGCGUAACGAAAAUGCGGGCCCGCUUUUAACAAGUCUAAGCUUCGGGAGACUAUUCUCGCAAUAAAGAGAGAACAUUCCCCUUGUACCAGACCCGCGGAUAUUACAGGAUAGUGAUAUCAUUUUACUGCCACUUUUCCGCCCCCAUCGUGAAUUCGUUACGCGCAACUUUUAACGUUAUGGACUCAUCCAUACCGCCCGAUCCAUACCUCCCGAAUUACCAUUGGCUUAUACUCUGAAC